AGAGUUUGUAUCUUUUAAAACGCACAUAAAAUGCCUGGAAGUUGCUUUUCCGCUUGAUUUUCUCGGAAUGAUGUAUUUUCCCCAAUGCAGGUGCUGUCAUCUGUCUGAAUUAGCAUUGUCAGGCUCAAACACCCCCAAAGGAAACGCUUUCUGCAGUGACCCAGGCAACUCUGAGGGGCAGUCUGGAACAGAAUGAGAAAAAGCAGUGCCAGAUUU
rnacentral:lncRNA from 1 species